CAUUUUACAACAUAACCGACAAAAUGGAGGAUUAGGCUCAUCCUUCACACUGUCAUUAAUUCAAUCUAAUCAACUCCAUUCAGGCCUGAAACAUGGCCAGGCAUCAAGGAACACCAAGAUAGCAGGACAACCUGCGUCAGAGAAAAAAUAGAGAAGACUGAUUUUGGCAAGUAAUCUUGGCACUGAUAAAGAAGAAAGAAAUAUUUCAGAGAAAAUCAAAUUUCUAAGGAGCACUCACCCCAUGCCCCCUUCAGCAGCAACGGAUGGAAACCCAAGAUUAUGAUAACAUCACAUCAUGGAGUGAGUUUUUCCACAUGUUAUAUAAGAGAGGUUUCAUCAUCACGUUCACUUUGAGAACCACGUAGUCAUCUCCAAUUUUAUUGCGGGCUACACAAAGAUAAUCUCCUGCAUCCUUAUCGGUAACAGAAUGAACAGUCAAAGUUCCAUUGCCAAAUAUCUCGAUUCUGCUGUCCAAACUAAUUUAGAAAAGAAGAAAACAAAACAUAUGCUGUAAGUUUAUGUUCAUAAUUCAUCAUACUUUGAGCCAGAAAGCAAACAUAAAUAAUUAUCUUCAUUUGCAAGCAAACAAUUACAUCCUGAAAUGGAAUCUCUUCUAAUGGAAGGAUGUUUUUAUUUACUUUAUCUUUCUUCUGAAGAUCUAGAUUUUAUUUACAGAAUUCUAUGCUGUAAUUAAACAUGAAAACACAAAAACCACAGCAACCCUCACAUCUUUAUAUACACACCAUAGUUAAAUUCUACAUAAGGUUAUAUGAAUGGACACAUAUGUUGAUAAAAGAUGAUUUUGAUAACAUAUUCCAUAUGACAAGAUAUAAAAACAUUAAUAAAGACAUUUUAUUCCAUUGCUAUGGUUUUAAGCAGUGAAGGGAAUGUUAUCUACAACUCUCGCUCCUUGAAAACAUUUGUAUACAUCAGUACUUGUACUCAGUCCCCUAAUAGUGGACUAUCCGAGCAGAAGAAGAAGAAUGGCUGUUCUGAUCCAAUUAAUAUUGUACAAAAGAUUUACAUGAAGCAAUUUAAAGAGUUUACAUUGCCAAACUAGUGUUGCAGAGAGGAUUAUAUCAUACACAUUGAAUAAACUGAAUGAUCAAUCUGUUUUAAAUUGUUAUAAACAUGUAAUGACGUGA